rnacentral:lncRNA from 1 species
ACCCCUUGAACCACUAUACGACUUGAUUCUCCAAUUUCGUGUAUUACAUCCGCUGCAUUGUAAUUCUGUGCCAACAAAUUUCAUUCUCUCUGCAAAGGUGCUGACACUGGUAUAGGAUUUUCCUCUUCUGACGAUGGUUGACGCAAUGUGUGCGCGAUGACAACAUACACAUAAUUUGAACAAAGCAAGGAUGUGAACUUCUCCAAUUUGAACUUGGCUCCUAUCUCCGCAUGAAUACGAGUAGCUACGUAAGCC